rnacentral:rRNA from 1 species
AGUGAAUGCUGGCGGUAGGCCUAACACAUGCAAGUCGAACGGCAGCACAGUAAGAGCUUGCUCUUACGGGUGGCGAGUUGCGGACGGGUGAGGAAUACAUCGGAAUCUACUUUUUCGUGGGGGAUAACGUAGGGAAACUUACGCUAAUACCGCAUACGACCUACGGGUGAAAGCAGGGGAUCUUCGGACCUUGCGCGAUUGAAUGAGCCGAUGUCGGAUUAGCUAGUUGGCGGGGUAAAGGCCCACCAAGGCGACGAUCCGUAGCUGGUCUGAGAGGAUGAUCAGCAACACUGGAACUGAGACACGGUCCAGACUCCUACGGGAGGCAGCAGUGGGGAAUAUUGGACAAUGGGCGCAAGCCUGAUCCAGCCAUACCGCGUGGGUGAAGAAGGCCUUCGGGUUGUAAAGCCCUUUUGUUGGGAAAGAAAAGCAGCAGGUUAAUACCCCGCUGUUCUGACGGUACCCAAAGAAUAAGCACCGGCUAACUUCGUG